rnacentral:rRNA from 1 species
GAGAUGUGGGUAGUCCGUACGAGCGCACCUUGUCCUUAUUUGCCAGCACGUAAUGGUGGGAACUCUAAGGAGACUGCCGGUGACAAACCGGAGGAAGGUGGGGACGACGUCAAGUCAUCAUGGCCCUUAUGACCAGGGNCUACACACGUGCUACAAUGGAGCGUACAGAGGGUUGCUAAGCCGCGAGGUGGAGCCAAUCCCAGAAAACGUUUCGUAGUCCGGAUCGAAGUCUGCAACUCGACUUCGUGAAGUCGGAAUCGCUAGUAAUCGCGAAUCAGCAUGUCGCGGUGAAUACGUUCCCGGGCCUUGUACACACCGCCCGUCACACCAUGGGAGUGGGUUGCAAAAGAAGUGGCUAGUCUAACCUUCGGGAGGACGGUCACCACUUUGUGAUUCAUGACUGGGGUGAAGUCGUAACAAGGUAGCCCUAGGGGAACCUGGGGCUGGAUCACCUCCUU